GUGAGGAAUAUUGUGCAAUGGAGGCAACUCUGACGCAGCCAUGCCGCGUGCAGGAAGAAGGCGCUACGCGUUGUAAACUGCUUUUAACCGGGAAGAAACCCCAGGACGUGUCCUGGGUUGACGGUACCGGAGGAAUAAGCACCGGCUAACUUCGUGCCAGCAGCCGCGGUAAUACGAAGGGUGCAAGCGUUAUCCGGAUUCAUUGGGUUUAAAGGGUGCGUAGGCGGAGCGUUAAGUCAGUGGUGAAAUCCUGCAGCUUAACUGUAGACUUGCCAUUGAUACUGGCGCUCUUGAGUGCGCUUGAAGUGGGCGGAAUGUGCCGUGUAGCGGUGAAAUGCUUAGAUAUGGCACAGAACACCAAUUGCGAAGGCAGCUCACUAAGGCGAUACUGACGCUGAGGCACGAAAGCGUGGGGAUCGAACAGGAUUAGAUACCCUAGUAGUCC
rnacentral:rRNA from 1 species